UACAGAGGCCUCAAGCGUUGUUCGGAUUCAUUGGGCGUAAAGGGUGCGUAGGCGGCGCGGUAAGUCGGGUGUGAAAUCUCGGGGCUUAACUCCGAAACUGCAUUCGAUACUGCCGUGCUUGAGGACUGGAGAGGAGACUGGAAUUUACGGUGUAGCGGUGAAAUGCGUAGAUAUCGUAAGGAAGACCAGUGGCGAAGGCGGGUCUCUGGACAGUUCCUGACGCUGAGGCACGAAGGUCAGGGGAGCAAACGGG
rnacentral:rRNA from 1 species